GAAUAAAUGGAAACUCGUCUUCUAGUGGUGGUCAACAGUUUAUUAGUUUCGUUUCUGUGGAUGAUGUUACACAGCUGGAACUGGAGCAGAUAUCUUGAGCUGUCAGCAUUUCUCUGAUCUUUACAAUGAUCACUGGAAACUUCAGUGAUGUUAGCCAAUCAUAACAGCGGCUGAUUACUGAGAAGCCUUAAAAGACCCGCCCCUUAAAAACAGUCUGUUUCUGAGAAAGGUUUGGAAAGGAACAUUUUAAAAUGAUAAAAAACUAAAUCUAUUUCA